UACAUGAAGCUGGAAUCGCUAGUAAUCGCGGAUCAGAAUGCCGCGGUGAAUACGUUCCCGGGUCUUGUACACACCGCCCGUCACACCAUGGGAGCCGGGAAUGCCCGAGGUCGGUGACCUAACCGAAAGGGGGGAGCCGCCGAAGGCAGGUCUGGUAACUGGGGUGAAGUCGUAACAAGGUAAC
rnacentral:rRNA from 1 species